GACGAACGCUGGCGGCGUGCUUAACACAUGCAAGUCGAACGGAAAGGCCCUGCUUUUGUGGGGUGCUCGAGUGGCGAACGGGUGAGUAACACGUGAGUAACCUGCCCUUGACUUUGGGAUAACUUCAGGAAACUGGGGCUAAUACCGGAUAGGAGCUCCUGCUGCAUGGUGGGGGUUGGAAAGUUUCGGCGGUUGGGGAUGGACUCGCGGCUUAUCAGCUUGUUGGUGGGGUAGUGGCUUACCAAGGCUUUGACGGGUAGCCGGCCUGAGAGGGUGACCGGCCACAUGGGGACUGAGAUACGGCCCAGACUCCUACGGUAGGCAGCAGUGGGGAAUAUUGCACAAUGGGCGGAAGCCUGAUGCAGCAACGCCGCGUGCGGGAUGACGGCCUUCGGGGUGUAAACCGCUUUCGCCUGUGACGAAGCGUGAGUGACGGUAAUGGGUAAAGAAGCACCGGCUAACUACGUG
rnacentral:rRNA from 1 species